rnacentral:rRNA from 1 species
GACGAACGCUGGCGGCGUGCUUAACACAUGCAAGUCGAACGAAAAGAGGGAAAGAGCUUGCUCUUUCCGGAAUUGAGUGGCAAACGGGUGAGUAACACGUAAACAACCUGCCUUCAGGAUGGGGACUACAGACGGAAACGACUGCUAAUACCGAAUAAGUUCCAAGGGCCGCAUGGCCCAUGGAAGAAAAGGUGGCCUCUACCUGUAAGCUAUCGCCUGAAGAGGGGUUUGCGUCUGAUUAGCUGGUUGGAGGGGUAACGGCCCACCAAGGCGACGAUCAGUAGCCGGUCUGAGAGGAUGAACGGCCACACUGGAACUGAGACACGGUCCAGACUCCUACGGGAGGCAGCAGUGGGGAAUCUUCCGCAAUGGGCGAAAGCCUGACGGAGCAACGCCGCGUGAGUGAUGACGGCCUUCGGGUUGUAAAACUCUGUGAUCCGGGACGAAAAGGCAGAGUGCGAAGAACAAACUGCAUUGACGGUACCGGAAAAGCAAGCCACGGCUAACUACGUG